CGCGCGCCGCUCAAGGGCAGACUGCGUCCUCGUGCCGCCGGCGAGACGGGCGGUCAUCAGCCGGCCCGGGGGUCGCCAGCACUAUCAGGUCCCCUAGACCCAUGGGCCCCGUUGCCGUAGCAACGGUAGCACCGGCCAUGUGGGGGUCCUGCUAGUCUGGAGUGUCGGAGUGUCGGAGUGUCGGAGUGUCGGGGUGUCGGGAGUGUCCGACCACUUGAGCUUCGCUGCCGGCCAGCUCCGCAGCUGCGAGAAAACCACGAGACAAGGAAGUCCCUGCAACGUGUAGUUCUCGAGAGUUCCGCCGGGAAACAGGAAAACACAUACACUACCGUAAUGUGUGGAAAUAUUCGUGAGUUAUGUUUUUGUGAUAAGUACAUCCUAAGUUGUGCAAGUACCUACUCGGACCAAUCAGUGCGGUUUAUGUAACCACGUAUGGUGCAUUCUACGUUGUGCUGUUUAUGUCCUGUGGCUAGGGUCCGCACCUUAUACUCGCUUGUUUUUGUACACCUCAUAGCUAGAGACCUGCAAAAUUCGCGGUUUCGAUGGCUUUCAGGAUAGACUGCACAUACCCCUGUAACCUCGGGCAAAUAACGCAAGUUCAUUGGCUGCCGACUUGUAAGUCGUCUCAGCUGGUUUGUCUGUGAUUCGAUCCUUCUUUGGUUGAGAGGGUUUAUAACUGGUUGAGAUUCGUCCAGAUGACCAGUAAGCCAAUAGCAAAAUUAUCUAUGAGGUAUAUGUGUUUGAAUUCUAGCCUAUCACCGAAUAAAUCCGCGAAUUUUGCAGGUCUUUACAGCUCAAUAUGAAACAGGAUUGUUGAUAAGAAACGUGCACUCACGGCGGUGUCGUCAUUGAAAGAAAUCAUGGACGAUUUGAUAACAACAAAGCUAAGUUUGGUUACGGACAUAACAAGCCUGUUCCGCCGUACACAGCUAAUAACGGAAAAACUUGGACUAAAGUGUUUUUUAAAGAACUAACAAUCUGUUAAAUAGUUCCGCAAUGAACCACCAUUAUUGCUAAGCUAAUGAGAGUGAAAUAUGUCUUGCCACUGUAUUGAGUUAGAUGAAACCACCAGAAAUCUGAAUGAGCGAAACGUUAUAGUUAGUAAUAACCAAGUUAUAUUUAUGGUCAAGGAUCUUAGAAGAGUUGGUUGAAACAAAUAUUACGUUGUGAGAUAGAUUUUGUUGACUUAAAACAUACAGCUUCACCCUCUCAAAAAUUUAUCGUUUUGAUAUGCAAAAUAAUAAUUUAUGUUAAACACCAAUUUAAGUUUUGGAAAACAGCCACUGAUCAUAUUAAAACCAAUAAAUAGGUCCACUGUGUUUACCUACUGAAAUAUUUUUAGAGUACAUUUGCCUAUGUUUUUGAAUACAUUAAGUAUGUUUAUUAGAAAGACCUUGUUGAACCUUAUAUUUUUCUUAUAUUCUUUCAUCCAAAUAGAAUCUUAGUCCAUUCGCGCAAAGAACUUUAAUAAUUACGCCACGAUUGCGUAGUAAAAAAUAACCAAGAAUUGAAGACUCGAACCCGGACCCACGUCGCAGUGUGUCGCAGAAUAUUUCACAACAUUAUCGCUAUUCGCGCACACAAUUGCCCCUUCUCUUUGAUAAACUCCGAGACCUUGUACUCGCUAGAAGAUAACGAUGCCUUGGGUUGGAAACUGAUAAACACACUUCGUUCUUUUAUCGCGAAGUCUUGAAACGAUACUGCCUUUUUCCCCGAACGGAUUAUUUUUCUUUUUCUUCCUUUUUUUUAUGUAGGAAAUGCAAUUUUGCAGUCGCCUCACGUACUGAUGCCGGCUCUCGAACAUACCAGCAAACGACGCCGUCAGACAAUACACUCGAUGCAUCAAUCAGCGAAACUGUACAGAGGCACAGAACAAGUAACCUCGCAGAAGCGAAGUGACGAGGCUGAUCCUGCGCUCGGGCGUUCAUUGGCUGAACAGAAGACUGCGCGGGCAGCCUCGCCUGUUGAUUGGUCACUCCGCGACGCGGAAGGCCUGGCUCCUGGCCGGUGAUUGGCAGACACGGCUGCGGCGCGAGUUCUCAGUGUUAAUGCUUUCCGUGGUUGAGCUUUCAUAAAGUUAAAAUUACAUUGUUUUUUUUUUUAAGUUAUUCUUUUUAGGCGCGUUACGAAAAAAAAAAAAACAAUAACGAGAAAGAAUAUUUAUGAUGCGCGCGCAGCAUGCAAAAAAUAAAUUGACUGGAUGAAUAUAGACUACAUAUAAAUAAAAAUUAUAUAAGUGCUUUUAAAUAAAAUACUUUAGUGGU